rnacentral:rRNA from 1 species
UACCAGCACCCCGAGUGGUCGGGACGUUUAUUGGGCCUAAAGCAUCCGUAGCCGGUUCUACAAGUCUUCCGUUAAAUCCACCUGCUUAACAGAUGGGCUGCGGAAGAUACUAUAGAGCUAGGAGGCGGGAGAGGCAAGCGGUACUCGAUGGGUAGGGGUAAAAUCCGUUGAUCCAUUGAAGACCACCAGUGGCGAAGGCGGCUUGCCAGAACGCGCUCGACGGUGAGGGAUGAAAGCUGGGGGAGCAAGCCGG